AUGAGUGAUCCUUGCGACUGCUGCAAGAGUAAGGUGAAGUUCAUCAGGCAGAUGCGUGGUAACUUCAAAGAUAGUGUGGUCAUACCACAGCGGCUCAUGAACCAUUUUGGAGGCGAUACCUCUGGAACCAUAAAACUAGAAUCCCCUAAUGGCCAGGUGUAUGAUGUUGGAGUUGCCAAGAAGGUGAACAGAACGGUCCUCCUGUCUGGAUGGGAGGCUUUUGUCGAUGCCAAUCAGAUACAGGAGAACAAUUCCUUGAUGUUUCGGUACAUUGGAUUCUCCUGCUUCAAGGUUACGGUAUUUGAUUCCAAUGGCGAGGAGAGAAUCUUGUGCCGUGCCAGGAUGGGAAAUCCUUCUCAAGUUGAAAAGCCAAGCAUGCAUCGUUCUGUUGUUUUGGCCAGUCCCCUUGAUGGUACCACCCAGUCUUCAGAUUCAGAUGACUGCUACAUAACGCCAGGAAAGAUACCUGCAGUAAAAUAUUCUGCUGAUGAAUUUUCAGAAUAUAGUCCAUCUGAAUCUUAUUCUGUGGAGUUGGAUAAUCUUCAUAUGCUUUCAAAGGAUUAUGUCUUAUCAAGGUGAUGCCAUCUCACAGGAGAACAAAUGGAAGAAAUUGAAGCGUUUGUCUCAAAAAUUCAAUCUGAAAUCCCUGUGCUUGUGGUAAAGAUGAACAAGACCAAUGUUCAGGUAAUACAUAAGGAGUACGCGGGCGCAUACUUUCCGCCCAGAACUCGAUUUGUCACACUCAAGGUGCCUGAGAAUAGCAAGGGUUGGCAAUGCAAAUUCUGCAUUAGACCUGUUGGCGGGCACAACCUUUAUUUGCGUGACUUUGUCCCUGACAAUCAUGUUCAGGAGGGAGAUCUCUGCCUCUUCCAACCAAUCACAGAGGUUGAGGCAACAAACUUCGCAAUUAUGGUCCACCUGCUUUCCAAAGCUGGAAGAGCUGGUAUACCCUCAAAUCAAGGUAAUGUUCAAGAAACAAGAUCUAUCUGCUUGGAUCAACGGGAGACUUCCUCCAAGCUUCAUUAUGUCUUAUCAAGUAGGUGCCGACUGGAUGAAGAAGAUGUGGCUGAAGUAGAUGCUCUUGGUACGAAAAUUCAACCUGAUAUCCCUUUUCUUGUGGUCCAAAUGACAAAGAGCAAUGUCAAUGGAUCACGACCUUCUCUGGUCAUUUGUAGGGGUUAUGGAAGGGCACAUUUUCCCAAAGGAAGGCAAACCAUCACACUUAGACUCCCAGUAGGGAAGAAGAAGUGGCAUGCUAUUUUCCACAUCAGACGAGACAGCGGUGGGUACGUCCUCUAUGGUGGGUGGGUAGACUUUGUCCGUGGCAACAAUUUGCGCGAGCAGGAUGUCUGCCUGCUCCAACCAAUGGACAAGGGUGAGGGGAGAAGGUUCACGGUGAUUGUCCAUUUGCUUCCCAAGGCAAGAAGCACCAGCAGGUCCAAGGGUGGAGUUGUUGCUCUUUGCUCGAACAAUGGUGGAAGUAGCAGAAGAAACAGGAAAGUCAGAUCUGGAUACGUGGUACUAGGCGACGGUACCUGCUUGACCCUCCCACAGGAGAAGAUAGUUGCUGAAAGGGUGAAGGUGAUCCAAUCUGAAGCGCCCAUUUACGUGGCAAUCAUUGAUAAGAGCAGUUAUUUUGCCCUUGACCUGGGCGCCAUGGGAGGUGCUCCUGCUGAUGGUCAUCUUCCAGACGGGGCACAGACUCUGGUGCUCCGUCAGGCAGGGUGGAGCAAGGCGUGGCAUGCCGAGAUGCUCGACAGGCGGAUGCUGCCCGGGGGAGGGUGGCAUGAGUUCGCCGCCGACAACCGGCUGCAGGCCGGAGAUCUCUGCCUGCUGGAGCCGGUGAAGGGCGAGGUGCUUGCCAUGUCUGUCCACAUCAUCCGCCGUGAGCAGUACUAUUAG
rnacentral:rRNA from 1 species